AUACUUACCUGGCAGGAGCGAUACCAUGAUCAAGAGGGUGGUUCAUUCAGGACGAGGCUCACACACUGCACUCCGGUUGUGCUGUUCGCUGCGAAUUCCUCAAAUGUUUGAAUCUCAACGGCAUAAUUUGUGGUAGUGGUGCUCUCCUCAGACUCUAA